AACGCGAAGAACCUUACCUGGGCUCGAAAUGCUAUGGACCAGUCUGUGAAAGCAGGCCUUCCCUUAAAAGACCGUAGUAUAGGUGCUGCAUGGCUGUCGUCAGCUCGUGCCGUGAGGUGUUUGGUUAAGUCCAGCAACGAGCGCAACCCUUAUCAUUAGUUGCCAACACGUAAGGUGGGGACUCUAAUGAGACUGCCUAGGUUAACUAGGAGGAAGGCGAGGAUGACGUCAAGUCCGCAUGGCCUUUAUGUCCAGGGCUACACACGUGCUACAAUGGUCGGUACAGAGGGCUGCAAGACCGUAAGGUGGAGCAAAUCCCAGAAAGCCGAUCUCAGUUCAGAUUGUGGGCUGCAACUCGCCCACAUGAAGUCGGAAUUGCUAGUAAUGGCGUGUCAGCAAUAACGCCGUGAAUACGUUCCCGGGCCUUGUACACACCGCGCAUA
rnacentral:rRNA from 1 species